CACACACAUCAGCCAAUCAGAGCGCGUGUAGCGACAGCACCGUAGCAGGCUGGAGUGCACGCGCCGCUCAGACGCAGCGCGGAUUAAACUGUGAAAUAAGUUCAGUAAGCUGUGAAAUAAGUUCAGUAAGCUGUGAAAUCAGAGUAACAACAGUCUGUUUUAAGAAGUGUUCACGGAAACCUGCCGGAUGACGCAGAGAAAUCCCGAAUCGAUGAGACCUGAAGACCCCUGAAGCUGAGGACUACUGAUCCUACCCCUCUCCUGGCACAGCGAUAAGGAGCCGGGCUCAGAAAGCUUGGUCAGAACGUUAAGGGCUCUGCUGUUCUUACCCACUCGUCUCUCUCCACUUUGUACCUCUGGAGAUGGAGGGUGAAAAGGUGGAGACAACACGUGAGACGGAGACAGAUGGUGUGACAGACAGUGAGACAGACAGACAGAUUCAGACCUUGGCUCCACAGGUGACAUAAGGAGACUGACCGUCCUUCCCCGGCAACAUACCAAUGACCUGGAGAGGGAGACAGGCAGAGAGACGGGUCAGCAGAGCAGGGCCGGUGUGCUCGUUUGGUUCUAGCAGCUGAACCUAAUGUUGCGUCAUCGUGUCACGUGAUGCGCCACUUCAGUGUUCCCGUGGAUGUAGUUACUACAGUAACCAACAGACACUACAACCUCACUUUGGUCACUCUGCUGUUUGGAUCGGGGUCAGAGGUCAACGUACCCGGUUCAUUUUGAUGAGGAUGCAGGGCUGACCUCUGUUGUAACCAUAGAAACGAUCCGAAAUCCCAGAACACUCCUCCAACAUGGUCCGAUUGAACUGACAGGAACGCUUGGGGUUGUUCCUGACCUGAGAGAGACAGGCGGGUAGAGGGUGAAACAGGCGGGUAGAGGGUGAGACAGGCGGGUAGAGGGUGAAACAGGUAGAGAGACAGACAGGUAGAGGGUUAGAA